rnacentral:rRNA from 1 species
UACGGAGGGUGCAAGCGUUAUCCGGAUUUACUGGGUUUAAAGGGUGCGUAGGCGGGAUAUUAAGUCAGAGGUGAAAGCCCCGAGCUCAACUUGGGAACUGCCUUUGAAACUGAUGUUCUUGAAUAUAGUUGAGGCAGGCGGAAUACAGCAUGUAGCGGUGAAAUGCAUAGAUAUGCUGUAGAACACCAAUUGCGAAGGCAGCUUGCUAGACUAUUAUUGACGCUGAGGCACGAAAGCGUGGGGAGCGAACAGG